GAAAUCUUUGCUUUGUGCUAAAGUCAACAGUGACUGAGUUUGAGCUCAAAUAAAUGCCGUGAUGUCUGCAGCCCUUUGCAGAAGGCAGCAGACAUUAAAGCUUCCACAAUGGGCUCCUGCAUGUGUUGGGCUUCACAACAAGCACCGUUUUGCACAGGGCUCUGCUGACUGAAGUGAUCCCGGCGGGCCGAGUGCGGCUGAGGAAGGAGCGGCAGCCUGGCAGGGAAGAUGGGAUGGCGGCGGGGAAGAGCUCCACUGAUGCUGCACACACUCAAACGCAAACACAUUUCAGCGCUCACACAAUGUCCCUCUCAGUCGUGGCUUGUGACCGGUCCACGGCAUUGGCCAGAAGACCCGUUGAUGAGCGUGAAAUGAGUCUGGGGCUCAUUGACAGUUCAAGAUGGAGAGCAAACUGAGAUUAGACCGGGUUAAUUAAUUGUGGCCUUGGCAAAAUGUCUUCCCAUCCCGUGGAAGACUUUCUCUGUCUUCCACGGGGUGGGAAGAAGACAAAUCUUCCUGCCAAUCACUACCUAAAUGACAUUUUCAAACUUUAACCAGUGUUUUCCAUACAUUCAUUUACUCGUGGCGGCCAUAUUAGUUUCCACAGAGUUUGGUGACUAUUCCUAUAGAUGGCUUUCCGCCUCUCCUUCCUGCCCGCUUUCAUCGACGCCGUCCCAGCGAGCCGUCCGCCAGGCCCAGUCGAUGUACUUGGCCAUAUCUGCAUGCGACCUGUCUGCCAUAUGUAAUAUCAAAGCCUCUGUCAGCAUGAAGCUCAACGGGAACAAAAGAGAGGCCUUCAUUAAUGAUUAACUGUUCUAAAAGCCCCGGCUUUUGUAUUCCCAUGGUGCCGAGGCUAUCUGGCCGCCAUGUGACAUGCUCGCAGCGUUUUUCGAGCAGAUUGGGGGAAAGCUAGUGAGCAAACACAGGUGCUUUGGAGCAGCGUUGGCGACGCUGUCAGGGACAACCACAAACAAGAACAGCUAUGCCCAGCUAAAUGAAUCCCCCCCGCCCCGGCCCCCCGACCACUCCUACCCCCGUCUCCCUGUCACUAGCUAACUUGUUUGCCAGCGUUCAGGACUGGGGUCCGACCCCCCCUCCGUCCCACAAGUCCAAUGUCCACCACAACUUCUCACACCCUCAAAAGAAACAAACAAAUAAAAGUGAGGACGGCCGACCGCUUCUUUGAGGUGAUGGCAUUUGCUGCGGUCUUGACUAGUGGAAGAGCAAACAAAUUAACAGUGUUCCAGUUUUCACUUUCCAAACCAAACUAAACGUCUUUUAGUUCAAGUGGGGCAAUUCCACUGACCCCCGUGUCAACUGCGGCGCAAGGGCUUGCACGCUCAUGCACUUGAAAUGACCAGAAAUGAGUACUUUAAUACACCUCAAAGUGACGUGUGACUAACAAACGGUGGCUGCGUUUAGUCGCCAUCUGACAUAUGUUUUAACCCCUAACGCUGAAUGAUAGCAGCCCCGGCCCAAUUAACUUUUUUUUUUAUCCAGACUGACUUGAUUGUUCACACUGACUGAGCUCCUGUGUCGCUCUUUACUUUGAUAAGACAAUCUGAUGAUAGGAUGGCCUUAUCUUAACACGGCUUUCCGGGUGGGAGACAAAUGAACAAUGUGUGAUAACGGGAACAAAAGCUCACCUCUUAUUGGCCCACCCCUCCUCUGAAUGGAAAAAUCACCAGGAUGGAAAAUUCCCUAUCUUAUUCUCAAUUUUCUCCCAAAAGCCCUAACCCAACCAUGAGCAUCCUUCGUUUUUAUGAACAAAAGAGGAUAUUAAGCUGUAAAUGUGGAGGAAAACGAGUGCAGAAUUAGGUCACAAGGGGGAGUAUAAAAAAAACUUGGUACUUUUUAUUUAAUUGUGCAUAUGUAACUACAAGUAUUUUAUCAACAUUCUUUGAUUAAUGCUAAUUUUAAUUAAGUCUGAUUGUUUUUAUGAUUGUAUUUUCUGAUUUGAAUUAGAUUACAUUUUUACUUUGCCUUCUUUGAUAUGUCUUGUGUACGAAUUGUGC